rnacentral:rRNA from 1 species
UACGGAGGGUGCAAACGUUGCUCGGAAUCAUUGGGCGUAAAGCGCACGUAGGCGGCCUGUUAAGUCGGCUGUGAAAGUCAGGGGCUCAACCCUUGAAAAGCCGGCCGAUACUGUCGGACUAGAGUCCGGAAGAGGCAAGUGGGAAUUCCCGGUGUAGCGGUGAAAUGCGCAGAGUAUCGGGAGGAACACCAAUGGCGAAGGCAGCUUGCUGGGACGGUAACUGAC